AUGCCCUCCGUCGUCACCCCUUAAAACGCGUUACCCGCUUUCGGACUGCGUCGCUGCGGCGCACUCCCUACUUCCAGAAGCACUAGCAUUUGGAGACAGUCCUUCCUAAUUCCGUACCCACGAUUGUCGUGGGCCACAAACUGAAUUGAAGGUCUCCUUCGGGGCCGAUUGAUGCACGGUCGUCGGCGCCAUUAUGCAUCCCCCGUUCGCAAUGAGCCUAAAUAACCCGCAUUUCGCUUACAUCCGCCAAAACAUUCAGUCCCCACUUUAGGGAGUCGGAUUGACUCCUUAUCGGAAACUAUGACGUUUUGAACUCCUGUCCUCUCCUUUCACCUUAAGGGCCACAUCGCCACCUUACGCAUCUAUAGCCCUCCUUGUGGUCUCCGCUUCCGCCGAAAGACCUGACCAGGACUGCGACUCUAAGCUUUCGAUCCCCUCGUUUGUCCUAAUCUAUGGGACCAUCAGGACCGACAUUUGCUACCUAUGAUCUAGAACGUAUAAAUACGAACCAGCAUCGAUUGCGCAAUUCAUAGGGCGGACCCCUCAUG
rnacentral:rRNA from 1 species